UAUAAGAGAUUUGCUUCUCUGGGUGCGGU
rnacentral:piRNA from 1 species